ACUCUUUUAUGCUCUCCAUUUAUUUCCAACAAACAAAGUCGAUUUUCUAACAAAUUUCUCAAUAAACAUUCGACUUUAUAUUUUUUUUUCUUUUUUCUUUUUUUCAAAAUUUUUUUUUCUUUUCACAACUUUCUAGAGCUUAUAAGAGUAAAUAGUAGCACAAUAUCAUCCCUUCUUUUUCACAACCCACUAUGAAUAUUCACCACACAAAGAUCCCCAUAUACUUCAUCACCCCCUAUCAUCCAGCUAAAGAAUAAAAGCUAAAUAGGCUCAAAGUGGAUAACAAAGGAUAAUUUUUUU
rnacentral:lncRNA from 1 species